rnacentral:rRNA from 1 species
GACGAACGCUGGCGGCGUGCUUAACACAUGCAAGUCGAACGGAAAGGCCCUGCUUUUGUGGGGUGCUCGAGUGGCGAACGGGUGAGUUACCCGUGAGUAACCUGUCAUUGACUUUGGGAUAACUUCAGGAAACUUGGGCUAAUACCGGAUAGGAGCUACUGCUGCAUGGUGGGGGUUGGAAAGUUUCGGUGGUUGUGGAUGGACUCGCGGCCUAUCAGCUUGUUGGUGGGGUAGUGGCUUAGCAUGGCUUUGACCGGUAGCCGGCCUGGGAGGGGGGCCUGCCAAAUUGGGACGGAAAUACGACCCGGACUCCUACGGGACGGAGGGGUGGAGAAGGGUGCACAAUGGGCGGGAGCCUGGUGCGGCAAAGCCGUGUGCGGGGUGACGGCCAGCGGUUAGUAUUCCGCAUUCGCCUUUGACGGAGCGUUAGUGACGGUAAUGGGUGAAGAAGCACCGGCUAACUACGUG